rnacentral:tRNA from 1 species
GCCAUCGUGGUGUAACGGUAGCACACUCGGCUCGUAUUCGAGAGGUUCAUGUUCGAGUCCCGGCAAGGGCA